GUGGGGGCUGCCCUCAGGAAAGGUCUCCUUCUUCACUGGAUGGCUGGGAAAUUAAGGCCCCUUUGUACCUGUCUGGGGUGGGCCCUGGAAGCAGUUGAAGAAUCCCAGUACUUCCGUGUGUUACUCGUCUAGUCAACGGUAAAUCUCAGACCCAGGAGGCAAAGGCGACUUCCUCAAGGUUACACGGAACAUUUGCUCUCGGAGCCCUGACAUGCCUUCGGAGGCACUGUCUGAGUGCUAAGAAGUCCAACCACCCUGAGGCUGCCAUGCCGGACAUGAAAUGUCCCCGUCAAGCGCAGCCAUCCCAGUCAAGGCACAGACCCUCCAGCCCAGCCCAGCUGCUGAGUCCUUUGGGUGACCUCUACCAAGGACACGUGGAAGAGAAAAGUUGCCUGGCCGAGCCCUGCCUGAAUCCUAGCCUACAAAAGCAUGAGACACUCGUACCAGUGUUUUAAGCGCUCUCCCUUGGCCGAGAUUCCCAGUUGGCAACCUCCUGGCGGACAAGGCCCGCUAACUGCUAACUGCGCUCCAGAGGGACAGCACGAGACGGAGGAGGCACCGUCUGGAAGCACAGCGGAGGUGCGUCUGUAGGAGGGGGCACGUAAGCUGAGUCCUGAGGCAUGACCGGGAGUUUGCCAGAGAGGAAGAUGAGAGAGAAGGCAGUCUGGGAAGAGGGAGCAGUGGGGGCCAAGGCCGAGCGUACCAGGGACCCACGUGGAGUUGGAGCCACCAGGGAAGUUAACUGGUGACCACAGCAUCUCUAUUUCUUCUGGAGGGAUUGGGUAGCUGGGAGAGGAGGUGGUGGGG